CUCCAGUUCUGCUUUGCACCCCACAGGCCAGGGCCCUGUAAUCUCUCUGAUUCACUGACCUAUGUCAGGCCACAUAGCUCCUACAUUUUGGGGCUCAGACGGAGGAGUGUCUCCAGUCUGCGACUCGGGGGAAUACCUAGUGGCGGCAGCAGGCAGCAAUGGGACCUGGGGGAGAUCUGGAGGAAGCUCGGCGGCCUCCCGACUUUUUCUGCUUCCUACUGCUUUCUAGCCAACCUCCUCUAACUCCAGACUAGGGCUCAGGAAUUGUGUGUGCUGCGCACUGCUGACUACUGCGCACCCUCAUUACUUCGGGGAGAAAGCAGGCCAAAACCCCCAUGGCAGACAUCCGGGACGUUCCUGGCUAGCCAUCUCUGGCUUCCUCAUCCAUAUAUUAUAUUGAUUGGAUGUGGCCUGAGAGCAACUGGGCAGUUGCUCUCCUUGGGAGACAGAUGUCUAGGUGGUAAAGUUUCACCAGGUGGAAGGAAGAGAGGUUUUUCGGUUCAAGGGAAGAAGGUAGUGAGGGGCCGAGCCAUUGGCAGAGCUGCAACAAGGCCGCACUUCUGGGAAACACCUUGGGAAUUUAUUUCCUGUACCUUUGGAAAAGGAAGGCAGCCAGGAAUGACGCUUCGGACGUCCAAAAAAAGGAAAACUGACUGCUGCUGCAGUGAAGGGCCCUCUUCCCUGAAGCCCUGCUGGAGCCAGCAGCAUAGCUUGGGUAUGCAGCAGGAGGAGCGCGGCUACUAGGCACAUCCAGCCGUUACACACACCUGCAUUCUAAUUCUUGUCGCUUUGGUCUGCUGUGCCCCCGUGGCUCCUUGACCUGCAAGUGAAGAGAGGACACCGACGCAAA
rnacentral:lncRNA from 1 species